UNCUUCGUGUUCCCAUUACUCCUAACUG
rnacentral:piRNA from 1 species